CUUGAGACACGGCACUGACAACCUUCCUGGAACUCUGGGCUCUGGGAAGACCACUGCUCUUGCUACUGUGGCUGGAUAUCUUCGGCAACUUUGGAAGAACACCUCCAAGAAGGUCGUCUUUAUCAAUGACGAAUGUUUCAUUGACAAUCCCUCGAGGACAAUGUGGGUGGCUCUUUUGCUGAGCUACAUAGACGACUUUCCAGCCGAGCUUUCAUGCCGGGGGGUGGACCCUGAAAGUAUUAGAAUUUUGGAUCCUGAUGCCGGGGGGUGGACCUUGAAAGUAUUAGAAUUUUGGAUCCUGAUGCUGCAGAUAAAUGAAGUGAGUGUUGUGGAAGAUUUCAAUCCUUGUCCCCCUCAGGAUUUUCCAGAACUUGCUUAGCCAGAACAUCUUUCAGGUACACUGGUUUUUUGCUCUUCUUCAAAGCUUUCUCUUCCUUUGUUAUCGGAAAACUUCACCUUUGGCUUGUACAUAUGCUGGGAUCCUUCUUCUUGAUCUUGGCUAGCAUCUCUAAAAUUAGUAUCUUUGCAGCACUCCAUCCAGUCUUCCUCAUUUGAUGGCAAAUUCAUGUCCACAAGCCUACACUUUUGAAGCAAUGCCAAUUUUGGCGGAUAAUAAUUCAAAGUUGAAGAGAUCAGAAUACUCUUUCUUAAGCUAGUCAAUUGCUAUAAUAUAAAGACUGUUGGAGGGGUUUGAGAAAUAAAGGAGCAAAAUAAAAAUAUUGAAUAGAAACAUUUAUUGGAAGACCAAAGUGAUGGGAAGUAAAUGUAAAAAGAAAUAAAAUAAAAAUAAAGGGAAGGAAAAAAAAUUAAAAAGUUAUGAAAAAAAAGGAAAAGUCUCAAAUAUGCAAUCCUAAAAACCAUUUGCAAUAAUAAAAGCUCAAACUCAAGAUUGCUUACAUUCACCACAUAUAUGCAUUUGUAUAAUUAUUGCUAUAGAAAAUGAAAAUUGAUUUUGUUGUUAGUAUAGAUGAUUUUGCCACACAAUGCAACUGUAAAUGGCAAUGUGUGGCAACAAGCCAAGCAAUAAAAUAUAAACCCACUAACCUUUAUCAACUUUUAUCAUUUUGUCAUUCCAAACACCACAAGCCAAAAUCCCCACCUCAUAAACCAGAAUUCUGCAACAAAGAAAUUCAUUGCUCCAUCUCUCCAAAAGGAUAUAGAUGACACCUAGUGUCUAAAGCACUAUGCCUAUGAUACCAUGUGAAGAGAAGCUAGCCUCUCCACCUAAUACUCUAAAAAAAGAGAGCAGCUCUCACAAAAUAGGAAAAAAAACUAAGAAGCUUAAAUUGAAGGAAUGUGACUCAAGCCAUUUGGCUUGACUCUAAGACAGGAUGGCAUUAGUGGCUGCCACAUUCUCUACUUUGGUGGCAGGAAGACCCUUUACUCACAACCUCCAGAGGGAUGAGCACACCUAUACAUACCGCUUAAACAAACAAAAUUGUGGCUAAGUUUUCACUUUUUGUCUCUUGUGUUUAUAAUUGAGUUAGUGGUCUAAACCACCGGGCCGUCGGAUGAAGAUCGUGCGGUCCCUGACGAUCAUCGAAUCCCUAACCCUAGCUAAUAUAUAGGGCGCUCUUGAUCGCUCUCCGGAUCAUCGAUCCCAGCGCGCGGCGGCGAGGAUUUCAACUAACGAAAUGGACGAGGAAUUGGCUAAGGUGCAGGCUCAAAUCGCGCGUCUUGAGCCGCAGAUCCAAGCGGCUGGGGAAUCUUUUCUCUUUGCCUUUGAGAGUGGCAAUCAAUUUCUGGCGAAAUAUUGGCAGAAAAAGGAAGAGCAGCUGCGGAAGAAAAAAUUACAGCUGUGGAAGAAGGAACUCCUCCUCCUCAAAUCUAAUUGUAAGUCAUUCUUUGUGGGCGUUUUGCUGUGUGUUGUGGAUUAUGUGUGGUUCCAUUGGCUACUUUCGGCCAUGGUUAAGGAUUUUGCCAGAGGUAGCUUCAAUUCGCUUUUAUUUUGGGUUGGUGGAAGUGUGGCUAUGGUGGCUUUUGGCUGUGCUGCCGGUGGACGCAUGCUCCCUUGUGCAUCCUUGGUCGUCCUUGUAUGGCUAUGGCUGUUGAGACCCUGGUUUUUUCUUCUAGAUCUAAUACUAACUUUGUUUUGUUCUGAAUGUUGCAGUGCUUAGAAAUAUGAACUAGUGAAGUCCAUGUAAACAAGCACCCUAGAUUGCAUGAUGUGUGUAAGGCUAUAUGGAGUAUCGGCCCGUGAGAAGAAGUAUGGUAUGUGCCAGUCUCGAGGCUCGGCUCCUUGCAAGUGCCUCUCGAGAGCCACUGGGCGGUAUGAAGUAGACCCGAGCACCGCUUGUCCAUCGCCACCACCUUUCAUCACUGCUGAGACGUGUUCCGCUAGAUCAGAGGCAGGAUUUCCUGGGAGUCUCGUAUUUCCCGAACAAGCUGCUCCAGCCGGAUAUGGUGUCGCCCCUGGACAAGUGCCUGAAUAUGUGCAAGGCAAACUGCUCCUGUGCCGCGGUCUUCUAUAGCAAGAACUCGAGCGGCUGCUACUUCGUCAAGGACAUCCUGGGAAGCUUGGACUUUGAUGCCACUGCUGCGGUGCAGUACUCCGCUCAUCUCAAGCUCGAGAGUGGCAGCAUUGUCCUGAAGCCUGGAUGCUACUUUAUCUAGUUGGGUGUCUUCUCUUUGGGAUGACUGGUAGCCUGACACUAGAGUUUGCUCAGUUCUGCUCACAAGUCUGUGCGUUCCUCCAAAGCCCCCUUGUUUGCUUUUCAUGUCUGUCUUGUGUUUUACUUGGUCAUUCCCCGAUGCCUUCGCCUCUCAGAUCUGUGUUGCGAAAUCCCUGACCAUAACCACACAUGGAAGAGAUGACUAACCGAGAAGGAGCUCUUUCUCCUCUCCCGCAGCAGCCUCUCUUUCACCCGGAGCAGCAGCAACUCUUUAUCCUGGAGCGGAAUCUGUUUCUUUCUUUCUGUGUGGAUAUCUGGUAAUCUCCGCAUCCUUGUGGUCAUUCUCACCCCUGUUUGCCAUUUGGCUGUGUUUAAUUCUGUGGCCAUUCCUCCAUAAACUAUAUUGUGCCUCUCACAGCACCAGCGCCAGCAGCGGGACUUCCUCCAGCCGAUUUUUAUGUGCCUGGUAAGAAUGAUGUCUAGGGGACUGAAUGCCAUGACUGGACAAGCCAUGCGACUUUUCGGGAGCUCCAUAUUCCCGCUUUCUGUGGCUAUCAAACAUACAUGUACAUGGGUCGCUCACCCUUCAAGGAGAUAGAAAGUUUCGUAUCGGCCUUGAGACACGGCGCUUCGGAUAAUGACAACAAACCUCCAGGUAUUAUUAUUGGAACUCCGGGGUCUGGGAAGACCACUGUUCUUGCUACUGUGGCUGGAUAUCUUCGGCACCUUUGGAAGAACACCUCCAAGAAGGUCGUCUUUAUCAAUGGCGAAGAUUUCAUUGACAAUCCCUUGUGGACAAUGUGGCUGGCUCUUUUACUGAGCUACAUAGACGACCUUCCAGCUGAGCUUUCGUGCCGGGGGCGGACCUUGGAAGCAUUAGAAUCUUGGAUCCUGUCGAGAUCGUCAGAGCAGCUUUACUUUCUGGUGGACGAGGCCAACGCGUUUGACACCACGCUGAAGAGAGAACCGGGGGCUGCCAGCGCGAAAAAAAGAGACGACGCUUACCAUUUUAUGAAGAAUAUGCAACUGCAGCACGUCGUUGUCUACUGCUCAAGUACGUGGACGAGCAGAUUAGUGAGCGACAAAAGCCAGGUGGUUACAACGUAAGUGGCGACUACUUUCCAACACUGGUGUGGGGCUAACUUGUGUGCUUUUCCUUUUAUCCAACAGGCUGAGGAACUGCAGGCAUAUUGCGAACACGAGGUUCGUCGUGCCGGGGGGCUCCAAGUGGAGGUGAGCAUCGUAUUUACCGUGUCUUCUUUUAAAGCCUACUAAUGGUUUGGAGUAGGAGGAUCCGAUUGUGGCGUAUUGCAGGCUUGCCACAAGGCAAGGCCACCGAGAGUUGAUCCGACAAAUUCAGCUCCUCCUCAGAUCCAUCAACCUGCUUCAUCGCGUCGGUAAGCCACACAUUCACACAUUUCAUUUACCUUAAUGCGUUUGCUCGGAAUUCAAAAGUGAGACCGGCUGGGUUCCCAGGCUUGUUCGCUCAUUACGGGACCUGGAAGCUAGGGACCACGUACCAGAUGUACGAAGCUGGCCUGGGAGAGUAUAUCCAAGAGGCGGUCAAGGACCCAGAUCGCUGGAAUUCCUUCAUCGCUGUGGUCAGCAGAGUGGAAACGAUUAGAGCGGUGUUACCAGACGCGCUAGACACUCGAUGUUUUUACGUGGAUCCAGAGACACAAACAGGAAAAUGUCCAUCAGAUUCUCUGUGCGCGCGCACUAUGGCGACUCUGCAGUACGCGUCUGACGUUGAGGCUAGGAUGGGUAUCGGCCAAUGGACAAGGCUGAUCUCGCAGGAUGACAACAGUGCUCGGGUUGGGUGGAACGCAAUAAUGGCAACUCUCAUUUUCAUCAAACACUAUGGUAUCGUUAUUACCGCGGAAGGUCUGCAGCUUAACUUUAAACCUGAAGUGGUUGUCAGAUUCGAACCCCAACUUCUGUUUGGAUCCUAUGAUCCCCCCCCCAUCCUUCGUGGGGUACAACACACCUCAGUCCAAAUGCUUCCAUCAGUCCUUUUAGGACCAUUUUUUGACUCUACUUAAGUCAUCCAGCAGUUUUAGACUUGAUUAAUUCACAGACCUAUAAGGUCCCACUUGUGAAGCACUAGCUCACUGGAAUACACUUCCUGCAUUCCUGUCCUACUUAGAAGGACUAUUUUCACAAGUGUUAUUCUGACACUUGUUUUUGUUCUCUAGGGCAACUUCUGCCCCUUAGAACUACUUGUCCAUGUGAUGAGAAUACCAACUCAUCUUUAAGUACACCCCCCAACUCUUUGGGUUGUUCUAACAUUUAUUAAAGGUAGCCCCGGCUACCAUUUCAAGGGCUGGUGUCCUCUUCUGUAUUUGACAUCCCACAGUCAACAAUUUUAGUCUCGAAUUUAUGAGUACCAGCCUCAACCAUAUAAGGGUAAUCUUGUGACUCCUUUAUUGUUUUGGAGUCUGCAUCUUCCCCGUGAUCCCAAUUGUAGUUGUUUACCACAACUACAUUAGCAAGUUUGUUAAGUCAAACGCUCAUCUGGAUCACAUCCUCAACUCUCUGAAGAAACCCUUAUACUAUUCCCAAGAUCCCAAAGUCAUUCCAUUAUUGGCCCCUUUUCUAUCCAGCACAUUGCACCCAAGUUCACGCAUGAACUUGAGUGGAGAGCCAUGUCCUCUCGACAUGCUACUCCUCAAGGAUAGGCCCACUCCUAGGACUUUCUGAUGCCAAUAUCAAUGGUGUUAUACUUGAGCACCAAUAAAAGUCGGACUAAAGAACAACUCCGAUACUAAGUUGUAAGUGACUAAAUUUUCCAUUUUACUUUAGUCACUUAACCGCACCUCCGACCACUUGGAGGAGUCUCACUCACAACCUCCGUAAGUCCUAUUUUGGACCUGGGCUUACUAGCCCCGAGAAUGGCAUCCCCGCCACUCAACUUCGUGCACUUGGUCCAAGUGCUCCACGUGUCCGAUCCCAUGACUGACACCCCAAGGUACCACCAACAUAUCAGCCUGUUACGCUAAGGCCAUGCCCAUUCACCUUGGUCACAACGAUGGUCUGACACCAUCUGCAUCCCAAUCCCAUCACUUAAAGACUGGGCCAUCCAUCCAUGAGUGAUCAUCCCAAAUCCACUCCUUAGCAUCCUUAGGAUGCCCACCGACAUGGGGAUUAGCCUUCCCCAAUAUCUCCGUUCCAAUCCCCACUAAGUCCCUUUUCGUCCAUGGCCGUGUUUGCCAACACUGCCACUGGAUCGAGGCCCACAGGCCCGACCACUAAGUCCCACGGUCCACUGGGACUUCCUCACCACACGACUGUGUCCUUGGUCACUACCCCAGAGGACUGCUCCUCUUCCUUUCCACAGUCUGAGCCUUUGGGACAACAUUUCGGAACACCGUGGCCUUACGCGAGCCACCUGGGUACUCUCCCCGCCUUCCGCCCUUGGGUGCUCUAGCCAUGGGCUUAGAGCGAGGUUCCGUUGAGCCACGCCUGGUAUCCAAGUAGGUAGUGCCACCCACACUUGGACUGGGAGCAUCGGCCAGUCGAUCUCCCGGGGGAACUAGAGCCGGCUCUUGAACACUUCACCAAGCUACCCCGCUUGUCGGUCUGUGUUCACUCUAGUCUUGGACUUCCCAGUGGUCAGCUCAUCACCCAACACUGGGUCUGGCCUUCCUGGGCCAAACUGGCCUUUCCUAGCCAAACUGGCUCCACUGGGCUCCAACCCCCACACUCUCCCUACUAUACUUUUGGAAACCCCCGCCCUGGGGGACGAUCGCUUUGGGCUUUCACCCAACUGCCUGUAUUAGUAUUCGGACUCGGACUCGGACUCGGUCUCGGUCUCGGUCCCGAAUUCGGACUCGGACUCAAUCUCGGUCUCGGUCUCGGUCUCGGUCUCGGUCCCGGUCUCGGUUCCAUCUCGGACUCCAUCUUGGGUCCAUCUCAGACUCCAUCUCGGGUCCAUCUCGGACUCCAUCUCGGGUCCAUCUCGGACUCCAUCUCGGGUCCAUCUCGGACUCCAUCUCGGGUCUAUCUCGGGUCCAUCUCGGACUCCAUCUCAGGUCCAUCUCGGACUCCAUCUCGGGUCCAUCUCGGGUCCAUCUCGGACUCCAUCUCGGGUCCAUCUCGGACUCCAUAUCGGACUCCACUUCGGGUCCAUCUCGGACUCCAUCUCGGACUCCAUAUCGGACUCCACUUCGGGUCCAUCUCGGACUCCAUAUUGGACUCCAUCUCAGACUCCACUUCGGCCUCUACUUCGGGUCCAUCUCGGACUCCACUUCGGGUCCAUCUCGGACUCCACUUCGGGUCCAUCUUGGACUCCAACUCGGGUCCGCCUCGGACUCCAUGUCGGACACUUCCACGUGUCAUGUGUUGGUCCUUUUUGGGUCCCUUUUUGGAGCCUUGCUUAUUGGUUGCCUCGUGCUUGCUCCUCGAGCACUUUGUUGGGAGUUCCACUCCCGCUCUCAACCUUCCAAGUCGGAGCUUUUAGUCCAAACGUGUUAUGCUCGUUUGGCUUUCGCUUCGGCCACUACCACGUGGCACCCUUUCCAGCUCCACUUUGGGGGCCUAGGGAUUUUGUGUCUCACACAAAUUUGGACACUUUCCAUAAAUAGCAUUUGGGACCGAAAUGAGACUAACACAAAAGGCAUGAUAGCGAGGGUUUUUGGUAGGCACGGUAAGCUAUUAUCCAGCGAUAUUGAGGGACUAAUCUCAAUACGCGAGGGUUCUUGUCAAGCCAGUGCAAGACAGAGCAAAAGAGAACUAAAAAGCCAGGCCAAGUAUGUUUGGCUAAAUAGACACUUAGGAAUUCCGUCCUUAUGCUCAUCCGGCCAAGUACAGAUGCAAAGUCCAGUUUACUAACACUUGAACAAGAGGGGCUGGCAAAGGGUCUAGCAAUACUGACCUCCUGCCAUCAUGGCAGUAAGGAAAGAGUGUCCGUAAGGACUGGUCGACAGGUAACUUUCGAUACCCGAAGUCACAUUCGCGACAAUUCCUGAUAGCACCCCCUCGGAUUGAAGAUCAUUUCUGAUCGCAUUCAUCAAGGAGGAGUCCUGAGGGGCCAGAGAAAUUGCCAUAACUUGAAGCCGAUCAGGACCGAGGAUAACUUGAUCAUGUUGAUUGAAGGCAGGAUUACCAGGCCUGAGACUGAGAUAGGACCGCCUUGAAAGAGCAUCAGGAAGGCCUUGAAACUUUCUAGGUCUGUACUUGAUAACAAAGUCAAACCGACUCAAGAAUUGUGCCCACCUUGCUUGACGACGGCUCAAAACUCAGGAAGUGGCAAAGCACUCAAGAUUUUUGUGAUCCGUCCAGACCAUUGUUUGAUGGCCCGCCCCCUCCAAGAAACGACACCACUCUCCAAAGGAAUCCACGAUGGCAAGAAGCUCCUUGUCAUGGAUUUCGUAAUUGAUCUCCGCAGGUUGGAAUUUCUGAUAAUGGAAGGCGACUGGAUGAAAUUCUUGAUCCGCUCCGAGUUGAAACAACACAGCACUGAUGGCAAAGUCAGACACAUCAGCCUCGAUGAAGAAAGGUUGUGAGGGAUCAGUGUGGAUCAAGACAAGAGCAAAACUGAAGGCCGCCUUGAGUGUGUCGAAGGCCUGCUGGGCAGCAGCAGACCAAGAGAAGGGAACAUCCUUGUGAGUGAGAUGCGUGAGAGGAAGGACAAUGUCAGAGUAGUGAUCAAUGAAUUUGCAAUAGGAAUUGGCGAAGCCAAGGAAAACCUGAACAUCCGACAUUGAUUGUGGAGGCUCCCAUUCGAGAAUAAUCUUGACUUUGGCAGGAUCCAUCGUGAUACCCUCAAGAGUGACAAUGUACCCAAGGAACUCCACAGACUCCUGAUCGAAGGAACAUUUCUCAAGCUUCGCAUAUAAGCCAUGUUCCCGCAGCUUUGCCAACACCUUGCGCACAUGCUCGUCGUGCUCCUCCUGAGUUUUUGAGUAGAUGAGGAUGUCAUCAAGGUAGACGAUCACCAUCUGAUCAAGAAACUCCCGAAAGACGUUGUUUGCCAUGUGUUGGAAAAUUGUUGGAGCAUUUGUCAAGCCAAAUGGCAUAACGGUGUAUUCGAAGUGGCCAUAUGUAAGCCACAAAUUUUUCCUUUCCAAUUUGCCAGCUUACCUCGCCUAUCCGUCCAACACCGCCUUGGCUUUUGCUAAGUUCCCUUGCCAAGGUUCUCGCCUAUGGUACCAGCUCCUACUUGGUCUCAGCUACUCACUGCACGAGCAACGGAGUGUUAGCCACCAUCCACGGAUUCCCAAAUCACUCCCAAUCCCCCUCCCCGGGUUAGACUGGACUUAAGGUUCGGCUACACUCCCCGCAAGCACAAGCAGCCAAGCACACCAAGCUUCCAGGUUCCUAACAUCCUUUGGUACCACAAGACUUGAUCAUGGGACCCUCUAAAUCCCAAGUCUUGAGUGCAACACUUGCUUCGGGACGCCGGGGCGAAACACCGUGGCCUAGCGGCCCGGUAUGGGUACCUCUCGCCCCCCACUUCCAUCCCGAAGGAAGGCCCAAGCCCCUAGGAAGGGCGAGGACCAAUGAGCCGCAUGGUACUCAAGUGGGGCACCACUCCACUUGAGCCGGGAGCACCGCAAUCGGUUUCCCUUUCGGGAGUGGGAGCUGCUCUUGAGCACUUCCUUGGAUGGCCCCUCCGGCACCAACCAAGUCCAUGCUCACUCCCACCCAAGGCCCCUCGGUCCCAGUCCCAACCUCAAGUCAGUUUGGGAGCCCCACUGGAGAGUCCCUUCUAAACUGGUUCCUGGACCUCACUAUCCCUACCAUACUUUUGGAACCCCCUACAGCCCCCCCCCCCCCCUGGGAGACGCACGCUUUGGGCUUUCACCCCUUGACCCGUAUUAGUAUUUGGACUUAGUCUCUGGCUCGAUCUCGGACCCGAUUUCGGAUCCGACUUCGGAUUCGGGUUCGGACUCGAUCUCGGACUCGAUCUCGGACCCGAUCUCGUACCCGACCUCGGACUCGACCUCGAACUCGGUCUCGGACCCGAUUUCGGAUCUCGGACUCCGUCUCGAACUCAGUCUCGAACUCGGACUCGAACUCGGUCCCCGAGUCGGUCUCGGACUCGAUUCCGGACUCGAUCUCGAACUCGGUCCUAGAGUCGGUCUUGGACUCGAUCUUUGACUUGGUCCCAUCCGAUGAACUCUUUGUCAUUUUGGUCAUGCUUUCGGGGUUCCUUUAGCCUACGACACCUCGGCGAGUUGGUUCCUUACACCAUAGCGGGUUCGGAACGCAGUCUUCCAUUCAUUACUAGGCCGGAUCUGGAUCAGGUUGUAUGCUCCACAGAGGUCGAUCUUGGUGAAGAAGCAGGCACCGCUGAGGCGUUCCAAUAUGUCUGAGAUCAGGGGCAGUGGAUAACGGUUCCGAACAAUCACCUUGUUCAAACCUCGGUAGUCGAUGACUAGCCGCAAACUCCCAUCCUUCUUCUUGACAAAGAAGACAGGCACUUCAGUCGGGGACUGCGAAUGCUGAAUGUACCCCGAGGCAAGGUUCUCAUCCACGUAUUCUUUGAGGGCCUUAAGCUCGGACGGGGAUAACCCAUAGAUAGGCCCCCACGGAGGUGAUGCUCCUUCCUGUAAAUCAAUGGGACAGUCAUAAGGCUGAUGAACAGGCAGUACACUAGCUUUUUUCUUGUCAAACACAUCCCCAAAAUCAUGAUACUUCUCAGGAACACUGACAGGAGAAACAUGCAAAGCAAAAAAGGAAAAUAGAUUCUUCAUGAAGAAGUUCUUUCAUAGUGAUUGUGGAGAUAGGAGGAGGUGUACAACUAAAUGGAAUGAUGAGACGAGGAUACUGUCCAGUGUAAUAUGGAAGAGAGGAAAAAGAAGAGGGUGAAAACUUCGUAGAGUCAGGAAUAGAACCCCAAUUUAAGUUUAAGGAACUUUUCCUGAUUCGGACUCGAUGAACAGCAGGGGAAGCCAUGGGAGAUGAUGAUGUGGGAGAGACGAGCUGUAAUUCCUUCCAAUAGAUCUGAGGCUGAUGUAGUUGGAACCAAGGGAGGCCAAGCACCACAGAGAAGGACUUGUUGUUGAUGAUGUUGAAGGCGAUAUCGGUGACGGUGGACCCGAUGUGUACUUGAAAGGGCAACAUUUCCCUAAGUCCAGAAGAUGGAAACACAAAAUGCCUGCCGAUGCCUUCAACCCUCAGAUCCCGUAUGGUAGGAGAAAGAGGAACGUGAUGUCAGGCAGCAAAGUUCGUGUCCAUGAAGCAGGAAGUUGCACCCGAGUCCAGUAGUGCCAGAGCCUUGAGUCCUGAUUGUCCGGUGAAAGAAAGGAGACAUAGGAUGCGGAAGUUGCGGGAAUUGGUGGUGGCUUUGAUGAAAGGUGGUGAAGAGCUUGAUAAAGAAGAAAAGUGAUUUUUAUUUGGGGAGUCCAAACAGACAGCUCCUACUUUGUUUGGACAGGGUCGUUUCCCAAUUGCAACAGAGAUGGACUUUGAGGCAGAGUGAACUCGAGCAAUCGGGGAGGCUUCUUGGGACACACAGUUGCUUUGUGAUUAGGAUCAGCAUAGUAGAGGCAAAGAUUAUGAGAUAUUCGACGUUGCUUCUCAGCAGGACUCAACUUCCCUCUGAUGAGUCGGGGAGUACCAGAAAUAUCCAUCGGGACCGGAGUAGUAGGUCCAGGAGUAUGCUCUGAAGACUCAAGCUGGGAUUCCUGAGUCUGGGACGGGAAAACGGCGGCACGGUGACUUUUCUGAUGACGUUCAAAGAGACGAUUGUCGCAUCAAACAGCUUUGUUGAUGGCGUCCGACAAGUCCGUGGGAUCCUCCAUGGUGAGCAACAAAUCCUUGACACCGUUGUUGAGGCUGAAACGAAAUUGAUCAAUCAAGGCCUGCUCAUCCUAUUGAGUGUCCAAGGCAAGGAGUUGGAACUCUGCAGCAUAGAUCGAGGCAGGACGAGACCCUUGAGAGAGACGUCUCAUCUUUGUGGUGGCAGCCCGAACCCGAUCCGUCUCGCCAAAACAUGCUUCGAGCUUCUCUUUGAACAAUUGAAAAUCCAUCAGCUCCAGAACCACGACCCCUUUCAUGCUCUUCUCCAGGAGAGGAGAAAACCAUGACAAAGUUGCACCUUCGAGCAACAUCCCAAUCGCACCAAUUUGAGACUCGGGAGUGGGGUACCGCCGAUGUUAAAGUCCGAAGAUCAGCUCCAUCUGGUUCAGGAAUCCACGAAGCUCUGAACGCUUCCCUAAAAAUUUUGCCGGGAAACUCACCUUCGGUUUAGGAACUUUGUUGGAUCCUUGAGCCGAAAGUGAAGCAAGCUCCUGUUGCAUGCGAAGAAGGGUCGCCUUCAGCUCAAUAUUCUCAGACUGGAUUUUUGCAAGGACUUCGGCAAAGAAAUCAGGAUGGCUUGGAAACUCCAUUGGAAAAGAAGAAAGAAAAAAGGGGGAAAAAAUGCAAAGGCAGUCAAACAAUCAAAACAAGCUAAAGCAAAAAACGAAAAAACACAAUCUAAAUCAAACUAUCAAGACCCCUAACAAGAUCAAGACUGGAAAAUGCAAAAGACAAAGAGAAAAGCUAGUGAAUAACGAAGAAGAGGCCUUAGACUAGUGUUGAUUCAGAUUGUAGAGAAAUGGAACAAAGCUAACUUAUAUAUACUAUAGGUUGAUGAAGCUCCACCACUUUUGGAUCGAGGACGGCCCAAAUAUAGUUGAGGUUGAGGAGGCGUCACAUCAUCAUCAGGAAUGUGGCUCGAGACUCAGGAAUCGUAUGGGAAAUCGAGAGUCAGGAAUAGGGAAGUGUUUUGAGAGUCAGGAAUAGGGAAGUGUCUCGAGAGUCAGGAAUGUGGUCUGCAGGUCAAGAAUCUGGCGAGAGUCAGGAAUGUGGCAAGAAUUGGGGGAUUUCUGACAACAAUAAAAGGAGUGAUCAAUGUAAGCUCCUAAGUUUAGACUUUCCAGGGGUGACAAUAAAAGGAGUGAUUAAGUGUAAGUUCCUGAGUUUGGAAUUCCCAGGAGGUCACCUAACCUAGUACUAUUCAAACCUAAGAACGUUUAACUCAAGUAUCCCAAAACCUUUAACUAAUUUGAAAAAGGGGUGCACUUUUUUUAAGGGCGUUUUCCCUUUAUAUUUGAAUCCUAUGUAUCAUUUUUCAAAUCGUUCUUUUUGGUUGCUUAUAAUCCACCACGCUUCCAUGUAAUUUCAUGCCUUCAUGAAUGGAAGCUGAAAGCCAUAGCUCAACUCAAGAGUUUAUAUUUGGUAUCAGAGAGGUCUUGGGUCCGACUUUAUUGAUUGGCUAAAAGAAUUGCACUAGAUAUUGAUUGACAUCAGGUAAGUUUAAUUUACUUUUUAAUUAUUUAUAAUUAAUGAUGAAGACACCAUUAACUUUGUAGCUCCCUAUGCCAAUUCACCUAUCAACCCCACAAUAGAACCUACACUUAGUUUGUGGCCAUCUACCAUAUAGCUUAACAUGAUUGUAAUUUAGGGCAUUUUGUCAUUCUAGAUACCACCUCAUAAAUCAGAAUUCUGCAGGCAAGGAAAUUCAUUGCUCCAUUUUUCCAAAGGACAAAGAUGACACCUAGUGUCUAAAGCACUACUCAUGCCAAAAAUUCUAACCUAUGCCUCUUAUACCAUGUGAAGAGAAGCUAGCCUCUCCACCUAACACUCUGCAGAAAGAGAAAACUCCAAGAACAAGCAGCUCUCACAAAACAGCAAAAAGAGGUAAGAACGUUAAAUUGAAGAAAUGUGACUCAAGCCAUGUGGCUGACUCUAUGGUGGCUGCCACAUUCUCUACUUCAUAGAGUCUGCCACAUUCUCUACUUUGGUGGUAGGAAGACCAACUGUAAAAUAGAAGCCACUAAAACAAACAAAAUUGUGGCUAAGUUUUCACAUUUUGUCUCUUUAUCGUGCUAUCGUUACGGUUUUAGGGCAAAGCCCACCACCAACCUAGGUUUUCACGAUAGGGUUUCAAUUAACGAAAUGGACGAGGAAUUGGCUAAGGUGCAGGCUCAAAUCGGGCGUCUUGAGCCGCAGAUCCAAGCGGCUGGGGAAUCUUUUCUCUCUGCCUUUGAGAGUGGCAAUCAAUCUCUGGUGAAAUAUUGGCAGAAGAAGGAAGAGCAGCUGCGGAAGAAGGAAGAACAGCUGCGGAAGGAAAAAGAACAGCUGCGGAAGAAGGAACUCCUCCUCCUCCAAUGUAAUGGUAAGUCAUUCUUUGUGUAUUUAGCUUUCCCCCUCGAUUUGGGGAUGGCUGCUUUCAGCCAUGGUUAAGGAUUUUGCCAGAGGUAGCUUCAAUUCGCUUUUAUUUUGGGUUUGUGGCGUGUUGCGAAAUCCCUGACCAUAACCACACAUGGAAGAGAUGACUAAGGAUCUCUUUCUCCUCUCCCGCAGCAGCCUCUCUUUCACCCGGAGCAGCAGCAACUCUUUAUCCCGGAGCGGCUCCACUGUCCUGCUUUGCUUUCCCUGUCUGGUCACGGUUAAGGAUUUUUGCUUCCUGAAUCUGUUUCUUUCUUUCUGUGUGGAUAUCUGGUAAUCUCCGCAUCCUUGUGGUCAUUCUCACCCCUGUUUGCCCUUUGGCUGUGUUUAAUUCUGUGGCCAUUCCUCCAUAGACUUUAUUGUGCUUCUCACAGCACCAGCGCCAGCGCCAGCAGCGGGACUUCCUCCAGCCGAUUCUUACGUGCCUGGUAAGAAUGAUGUCUAGGGGACUGAAUGCCAUAAUUUUUGGUUUCAGACAUGAUCGCCUGGGCCAAAAAGCUGGACGAGAACCUGACCGCAGAUUUUGCUGACGGCGGCAUUGACUGGACAAGCCAUGCGACUUUUCGGUAGCUCCAUAUUCCCGCUUUCUCUGGAACGGAUGGCAAUCAAACAUACAUGUACAUGGGUCGCUCACUCUUCAAGGAGAUAGAAAGUUUCAUAUCGGCCUUGAGACACGGCGCUUCGGAUAAUGACAACAAACCUCCAGGUAUUAUUAUUGGAACUCCGGGGUGGUCUGGGAAGACCACUGUUCUUGCUACUGUGGCUGGAUAUCUUCGGCACCUUUGGAAGAACACCUCCAAGAAGGUCGUCUUUAUCAAUGGCGAAGAUUUCGUCGACAAUCCCUUGAGGACAAUGUGGCUGGCUCUUUUGCUGAGCUACAUAGACGACCUUCCAGCCGAGCUUUCGUGCCGGGGGUGGACCUUGAAAGUAUUAGAAUCUUGGAUCCUGUCGAGAUCGUCAGAGCAGCUUUACUUUCU
rnacentral:lncRNA from 1 species